rnacentral:ncRNA from 1 species
ACACUCUGGAAAGAGGCUGAGCAGCUUUCACACUCAGCCCACCGACGGAUGUAAGACGCAGGCCCAUCGGCGGCCGUCGUCCAUGAUCUCAGGUCACAGGACAGAGGGGGCUCU